GAAUAUAUAGCUCAGUGGUAGAGCGCAUGCCUAGCAUGCGUGAGGUCCUGGAUUCAAUCCCCAGUACCUCCA
rnacentral:tRNA from 1 species